AGGCGCCCUGCGGGGGACAAACAGUGCCGUCAGGACGAGGACUCGAGCACAAAGCAGCAACAGGUAAAAGACAUUUACAAGCCAAGAUGCCUUCUUCCAAAAAUUAGAGUGAAAUACAACAACUAUCAUCUUGCAGUCUCAUCCAUUACAUUAGUCACUCGUUCUUACCUUCUGGGGAGAAGAUGGUUGUUCGGGAAUCAUAUCGACGAGACUGUAUGGAGACAGAAGCGAGGAGGAAAACUAAUCAGUAGUUUAUUUACCCUUGAAUUACAGACUCAAGCUCUUUGGGUGAUUAAGAAUUCAGUAAGUCAGUUUCCUCCUACAGAUGCCUUAAAAAAUUCUAUUAGAAAAUUUAUCCUUAACCUUUAAAAAGAAACAACCUCUCUGAAUGUUGGUUUUUUUUCCUUUUCUUGUUCACUAGGUGUUGUUUAGAUCUGCUUUGUGUGACAUAAUGGCUCCCUGGAAACAGAUGUGUCGUUGUUUAAUGGCACAGUAGCUGCGAAGUGCAAGAGAAUAUUGCCCGACAGAUCAGGUCUGAUAUCUGUCAAAGCGGGUUGUAGAAUUUAUACACCUGCAAUCCGGAGCCAAUAUAUACCAUUGUUUAAUUUGUCGCCAUCUUUUGUGGAUUGUAUUGCUAAGGGUUCCCUCUGAUUUUAGUGAGUAUACACUCACCUGUACCCUGAUAUAGAAAUAAUAACUGAAGUAGUGUUUGUUAUCAUCCACAAAGCUCAGGUCAAAUCACAAGAACCGUGAGGGCGUUCUGAAGACACAACGCCGAGAACACGAGCGUCCCAGGCGGCUUCAGUAUAAUCUGUACGUCUUGCACAGAAGCUUUGACGUUUAAUCUCGUACGGAACCAGAGAAAGAACGAAGCACAUAAUCAAUAUGCAAAAACCGAUUAACGCCUAACGGCUGAGUUGACUCACCAUUCUUGGAGGCUGCAGUCAGACCCCAAGGCUGCGGAAAAAGAAACGCAAAGACAGUCACAUGAACACCUCUUGAACACAGUCUGAGCAAAAGCUAAAACAUCGCAGGCUUCAUGAAGGAUCAUCUGUUGCAGCACCGUCACUGUGAACUAGAUGCAUCUGAUGACCCGAGUCACGUGGUCGCUUUGACUUCAAUAUCUCCGGCAGGAGACCCAAAACCUGCAGAUCUGCUUCGUCACCGGCGGCUGGUGGCGUCGGUGGAAGAGACAGGACCGAGACUCGGUCAGGUGCUGUGUCUGUGUGUGUGUGUGUCCAUCGGGUAACUACAGACUGAGCUUUGUGUUUUUGUCCCUUUACAAUUUCCAUCGUCAGUAUUAUCAUGAUCAUCAUUAUCAUACAUUUCGAUCGCUUAUUGACGAAACUCAACCCGAAUGGCGCCUGAAGCGUCCGCACAUUUAGCUGGCGCACAGUAAUUGUUCGCAUAUUUGUGAGAUACAAACCAAUAUAAGAAGACGUACGCCUUAAAAAUGAGACAGUUAUAUGAAGUUGGCUUGUCAAAAUUGAACGGCUUACCGAUUGAAGAGGUUUCUGUAGGGCGCCCUGUAAUGACGUCAGCAGCAGGAGGUGGUGACGACAUAGAGGCGCGCCUCUAAAAUCGUUUUUUUUUUAUUCUACGCAUCCAUGGAAUUUGACUCCGGUUUGUGCUUUCAGUGUUCAGCAUCAAAGACACGGACAACGAAACUGAGCAACAAUAAGCUAACGUAGAUUCUUAGGUUGAAAAAAACCUACUUUCAUAUUUUAGGUUAAUCAAAAACUCAGCCCCUUUUCUUGGUGGGUGAACAGGCCCUGUGUUUAUGUAAUGAGCCACUUUGACCGCCAGGGGGAGCCCUUGCUUUGGAAGUGUGGAAACCACGAGGCGGUGGAGGCGGUGGUAUUUCUACUGAGGAAGGUUAAUUGCACUCUGCCUGGGAAUGAGUUGUAAGACAUUGACCAGUGGAGAUUCAGCUUCAGCGUAAACGUCCUCCGAGCAUCUGACCCAGGUUGAUUUGUGGUCAGUGCAGUAAAUCAGCCCUGUGACCUCUGACCUCCCUGGUAAGUGGGUGGCAGUAUGUGUGUGUGUGUGUGUGUGUGGUUUGCUUCUCAGUCAGACAAUGUGCUCAGUCUUUCCUCUAUUUAUUCAACCAUAAUGUUAUGACACAUCUGCUUCACAAACGUGGAGCAUAAGCAGAGAUUUUUUUUCCUCCUUCACAUUUUUGUUUUACUGAGUUUCGGUUAAAAUCCCAUGUUAGUUAAAGCUUUUCAGUCGGUAAGAGGGAUUUUCCAAAAUGUAUUCAACCUACCCUCGUCAAGUGAGUAAUGACACAUCAUCACUUGGCAGUGAAUUCUGCUUCAUUCUCAUGACACAUUUCUCAAAAUUAUCCUAAAAUUAUUCUGAUAAAUCAGAAAUUUCCAACCUUGUAGUGAUCAGAAAACAAAUUAAACUUUAAAAUACUUCCUAAAUACUACUAAAUGGACGUUGAUGUGAGAUUGAUCUGUCAAAGGUCAAUUGCUCGUGAUUAAUUCUCCAAAAUGGAGGAUGUAUUUCAAAUCCCAUGAUGAGGUUCAGGCGACGAUUUGUACAUGGGUCCACUGAUAAAACAGCUCUGUGGUACAGUGGAAGAGAACUCUUUGUUUCUUGUUUGAGCUUUUCCUCUCAGUACAACGCAGCCCGGGGCUGCCAAAGCCCGGCAGCUUACCUUGAGAUUAUCAACAAUAAUCACAUCCUCACAUUGUUCUCUGAGGAUUGGCGCAGGAAAGUGGAGAGCUGCAGCUGCAUCACCUCAACAACAACAAGCCGUGACACCGCACUGUUUUACUGUUUACUCAGAGACGAGUCUUGCUGGCCCCGGUCUCUGCUGUGGAGCUGGCCUCCCCGCAGCUCCUCCUGGACAAGGUUUAUAUCUCAUUCGGCCUAUUUAUAUUUUUGUGGCCCCCAGCACAGAUUUUUACAUUGUCCUCACUCCAGACUGUAAUUUUAAACAGUUGAGCAGGACCCAAAACAUAUAUCCUCAGGGGAUGCCCUGUAGGAGGAUAGGGUUUCCAAAAUUGCCCCAUAACAACACGGUUUCAUGGGAAAUAGAUCGACUGACACCGCUCUGAUUCAGAUUCAGCUUUAUCUGGCACUGAGCACUCAAUAACAACCCUGAGACGAACACUUGCGCUGCUUAUGCGGACUCCUCCUGUGCUUUUGACCCAAUAACUCACUGUCGAUUGAUUCAUACGCUGGUUGACGUGUCUGUGUGAUGCCCCCUGUAGCUUAUUGGGAGGAGUUACCUGAGUGACUGAGAGCAAAAGGGGGGAAGUGGGAUUCCUGUGCGUCCCCCACGGGGAUGGACAAUGAAUGAAGGCGAGAGGGUAACAUCCCCUGGACCCCAUCUCCAACAAUUUAUGGACAACACGUCAGCAGAUUCGGAGUUCGGAUGUCACGUGGGAUCUCCACGUCGAGUAUAUGCUCAAAGACUACUCCUCCAUCCCUGGGUGAAAGUUGGGAUGAGGCCGCCUGGUGAACCUACACUUACAUAAAAACAGUCCCCCCCCCAGGCACCCCCUGCUUGAAUCCUGCCUGCAACCCCAACAUUUGCUUCUAAGCUUUGACAGCAUUGGGAAUACACAGAUCUCUCAGGCAGAGCCAAAAGACAUGAACAUUCUUUAUUGCUCAUGCUCUUAAAUUUGUCUUUAAAUGUCCUAUCUAUUUCAAGGUUGCUUAAGGUUCUCAGUGUGGGGAAUAUGUAUAUGUAGUGCUCACAAGCAGAACUAAAAUACAUCAUUUCUUUUUG